rnacentral:rRNA from 1 species
UACAGAGGUCUCAAGCGUUGUUCGGAUUCAUUGGGCGUAAAGGGUGCGUAGGCGGUAGGAUAAGUUAGAUGUGAAAUGUCGGCGCUUUAACGUCGAACCUGCAUUUAAGACUGUCCUGCUUGAGCACUAGAGAGGAGUCUGGAAUUUACGGUGUAGCAGUGAAAUGCGUAGAUAUCGUAAGGAAGGCCAGUGGCGAAAGCGAGACUCUGGCUAGAUGCUGACUGAGGCACGAAAGCUGGGGGAGCAAACGGG